UACGAAGGGGGCUAGCGUUGCUCGGAAUGACUGGGCGUAAAGGGCGCGUAGGCGGGUCUUUAAGUCAGGGGUGAAAUCCUGGAGCUCAACUCCAGAACUGCCUUUGAUACUGAGGAUCUUGAGUUCGGGAGAGGUGAGUGGAACUGCGAGUGUAGAGGUGAAAUUCGUAGAUAUUCGCAAGAACACCAGUGGCGAAGGCGGCUCACUGGCCCGAUACUGACGCUGAGGCACGAAAGCGUGGGGAGCAAACAGG
rnacentral:rRNA from 1 species